rnacentral:rRNA from 1 species
AAAAUAUUUCAAUUUUCUUUCACAAUACUAUUAUACUAUAAUUAAAAUUAUUUUUUCUUUAAUAAAUACUAAAACAAAUCACUAUAUAAUUAUUUUUAAUAAAUUAAAUUAUAAAAAUAUAAAAAUAAUAAAUAAAACAUAAUCAAUUUAUAUUGAUUUGCACAAAUUCUUUUCAAUGUAAAUGAAAUACUUUACUUAAUAAGCUUUAAAUUGCAUUCUAGAUACACUUUCCAGUACAUCUACUAUGUUACGACUUAUCUUACUUUAAUAAUAAGAGUGACGGGCGAUGUGUACAUAUUUUAGAGCUAAAAUCAAAUUAUUAAUCUUUAUAAUUUUACUAUCAAAUCCACUUUCAAUAAAUAUUUCAAAUUUAAAUCCAUAUAAAUAAAUUUAUUGUAACCCAUUUUAACUUAAAUAUAAGCUACACCUUGAUCUGAUAUACUUUCUUUUACAAAAUUAUGAAAAUUAACAUUCUUAUAAAAUAUUCUAAUAACGACGGUAUAUAAACUGGAUACAAAUUUAAGUAAGGUCCAUCGUGGAUUAUCGAUUACAAAACAGGUUCCUCUGAAUAGACUAAAAUACCGCCAAAUUUUUUAAGUUUCAAGAACAUAACUA